rnacentral:rRNA from 1 species
UCAGGGAUUCCCCUAGUAGCGGCGAGCGAAGCGGGAAGAGCUCAAAUUUAUAAUCUGGCACCUUCGGUGUCCGAGUUGUAAUCUCUAGAAAUGUUUUCCGCGUUGGACCGCACACAAGUCUGUUGGAAUACAGCGGCAUAGUGGUGAGACCCCCGUAUAUGGUGCGGACGCCCAGCGCUUUGUGAUACAUUUUCGAAGAGUCGAGUUGUUUGGGAAUGCAGCUCAAAUUGGGUGGUAAAUUCCAUCUAAAGCUAAAUAUUGGCGAGAGACCGAUAGCGAACAAGUACCGUGAGGGAAAGAUGAAAAGCACUUUGGAAAGAGAGUUAACAGUACGUGAAAUUGUUGGAAGGGAAACGCUUGAAGUCAGACUUGCUUGCCGAGCAAUCGGUUUGCAGGCCAGCAUCAGUUUUCCGGGAUGGAUAAUGGUAGAGAGAAGGUAGCAGUUUCGGCUGUGUUAUAGCUCUCUGCUGGAUACAUCUUGGGGGACUGAGGAACGCAGUGUGCCUUUGGCGGGGGUUUCGACCUCUUCACACUUAGGAUGCUGGUGGAAUGGCUUUAAACGACCCGUCUUGAAACACGGACC